rnacentral:tRNA from 1 species
AGCCCCGUGGUGAGAACAUGUUGGAUUGCAAAUCCAGAGACGCAGAUUAUCGUCUGCCGGGGCUU